GCAAACUUGGUCAUUUAGAGGAAGUAAAAGUCGUAACAAGGUUUCCGUAGGUGAACCUGCGGAAGGAUCAUUAUUGAAACAAAAUUAUAAGCGAACUGCUGCUGGUUCCUUUGGAGCAUGUGCACGUCCGUUUUAUUUUGAACAUUUCUCCUGUGCACUAUUGGUAGAGGCUGUCCUAAGACAAUUGAAUUUUCGAUUUCAUGGUCAAUAGUCAUGGUUCGGUUUGGAGAAUUUAGCAGCAAUUUUGAGUUGCUUUUCUUCUUUCAAAUUGCUUUUAGGAUGACUUUACCGUCUGUUUAUUUACGCACGUAUGAAUGGAUUAGAAUGUGUUGACAACAAACUUUGACCUUCGUGUCUUGUUAAAACUUGUAUAACUUUCAACAACGGAUCUCUUGGCUCUCGCAUCGAUGAAGAACGCAGC
rnacentral:misc_RNA from 1 species